rnacentral:rRNA from 1 species
AGAGCGAACGCUGGCGGCGUGCUUAACACAUGCAAGUCGAGUGCGCAGUUUUCUGUAGCAAUACAGAGAAUGGGCGCACGGCGCACGGGUGAGUAACACGUGGGCAACCUGCCCUCCAAAGGGGGAUAACCCGCCGAAAGGCGGGCUAAUACCGCAUGACAUUCCGGGGUCUUCGGAUCCUGGAUUCAAAGGCCGAAAGGUCGUUGGGGGAGGGGCUCGCGCCCGAUUAGCUUGUUGGCGAGGUAAUGGCUCACCAAGGCUUUGAUCGGUA